rnacentral:rRNA from 1 species
UACGUAGGGUGCGAGCGUUGUCCGGAAUUAUUGGGCGUAAAGGGCUCGUAGGCGGUUUGUCGCGUCGGGAGUGAAAACCCAGGGCUUAACCCUGGGCUGGCUUUCGAUACGGGCAGACUAGAGGUAUGCAGGGGAGAACGGAAUUCCUGGUGUAGCGGUGAAAUGCGCAGAUAUCAGGAGGAACACCGGUGGCGAAGGCGGUUCUCUGGGCAUUACCUGACGCUGAGGAGCGAAAGUGUGGGAGCGAACAGG